AUUAGUUUUUUUCUCUGAUUAUACUCUCAUGUUUUUAAUCUUUUUUAUUUAUUGAAGGUUUAAAGCCUUCUGGGAUUUUCUGUAGCUAAAUUUAUUUCACUCAGAUACUUUAGGAAUUAAUGUCCUUUUACUAAGACUUGGCUUUUAUAUAUAUUAAUUUUUCUUAACUUUUACUCAUUUUUAAAUUUAAAUGUUCUUUGAUUAUUAAGUCUUUUCUCUAAUUAUGUUGUGUUUAUGGUAUUGAUCUUGACUUGUACAGUCGAUAGUGACUUUUAAGGUGGACCAUGCUCAAGAUUAAAGUAAUAAGACAUGCUCAUAGAAUACUAAUCAGAGCUUUUUCCCUGAAACUUAUAGUUCUUACCUUCUAACUUCUUUCAAAUAUUAAUGUUCCCACUUGCAUAGAAGUACAGAAGUGAAGAGCUGGGUGAAACUUAAGUAGGCCAAGAGUUAAGAUGUCUUGUUCAAGAUAUCUGCAGCGAUUAUAUUUGGAAAUUCUGUAUAUCUGAACACUUAAAUGUGUGUUUGGGACUGACAAUAGCUGACUAACAUGUCCUGAGCUGUGAGAGGGCAUAGCAAGAAGGCCUUCAUGCGG